AUAUAUAUAUAUUGAAAUAUCUUCAUCUAGGGCUGGGCGAUAUGUCAAAAAUAUCUUAUUGAUAAUCGCCUUAAAAAAUAUCGUGAUAUCCAAUAAUAUCGCCUA